GGGGAUGACAGGCUUCGACGGGAGAGGCUGGUUCCGAAUUGCGAGCCGAGAGGCGCCGACCUCGUUAACUCAGCGCAACCUUUAAGUGCCAACCGCACUAACCUUUCUACUCUGCCCCUCGCCGCAUAGCCGGUAAGGGAUCGAGUAUGACCCCAUAGUGGGUCACGUCCGCCUACCCCGAUCUCCGACCGGUGGUAGAACGGGCGACACAAAGUCGGAGUGCCGCACUUGACGCCACUAAUUGUGUGAAAGAGGGUUUUCGGACCCAAGUGGCUGGCUGGAUGAGAACCUUUGUCGUCUGAAGCUCAUCUGGCGACAACUUUCAAACGACUACGCUCGUAGACAUUCGAGAACUUAAUCUUUCGGACGCGGGUUCGAGUCCCGCCAUCUCCACCU
rnacentral:tmRNA from 1 species